ensembl:lncRNA
GUUAAAGAGCUACAACUGUGUCAUAUGGGGAAAGGAUGAGACUUUGAACUCAGUCUUAGUAGAGAAGGGAACAUAUUUGCCAGCUAUUUAGGAAGAAAAAUUUUAGGGCUGGGAAUGAUCUAAAGUCAAUGAGAAAUUCUUCUUAGCCCUAGUUGGGUUCCCCUACAAAAAAGCUUGUGGUAAGGAUUUGAAUGUAAGUUGUUGGUUUAGGAAGCAAUCUAAGGAAGCACAGGAUCCUGGGGCAGGGUCUCUAAGUCUUCUGCUAACAUUUAGUAAGGCAGGGAAAGGAAGGAAGCCAGUACAUGAUGGCUUAAUAAGCAAAUUACCACUGUAGGCUGCAGGGGUUCAUCCAUGACUGUAGGCAAGUGUAGUCCUCUGGUAGACUGUAUAACAUGCCUCAGAAUUGUCCCACCCAAGGUGUGAGAGUUGGGGUAUUUAUCCUCCAAUUCCCAUCCAUCAUUAUUGAAUGCUGCUCACAGGGACAGAUGUUAAUUCCCUGGCAUUUUCAUUCUUCCCUAGAACUGGACACAUUUCUUCCUACCAAAGCAGUCUCUGUUAGUGAGAAGAAGAUUGAGAGCAAUCAUAUGGCAAAAUCCUGUGAACAGGGAAAAUCCAAGGCAGAAGACCAGAGGCAUUCACAGAAGAAUCCCUGGAUAUUUGGUAGAUGGAUCCACUAGAGAACAAGCCUGGAGGCUUCUCAGGAAGACCCUGCCUUGGACUUGUCCAGUUCCUCCCUGGGAGUUGGGAGCAUAGGCUGGUUAUCUGCCAAAUCAGCAGAGGGAUGGGAAAGGUGAAAAAAAAUUAAUACCUAUUGCAAUUACCACUUCUCCAUGAACCUCAUCUAUGUUCAUGUAAGUGUGGAGGUCAUUACAUACAUGACAAAGGUAAGUGCUCUUGCCCCUUUCUCAUCCCAGACAGGUGGUUAAAAGAACUCUGCGCUGACCCUUUCAAUUCUGUGAUUCUCUGUGUCUGUAAGGAAGGUACAGCUUAACCCAUACUUUGGCCCCUGACACCUCUCGUUUGGGGGAUGGCAGCUUUGCAUCUUCAGAAGUUUCGACACUGCCAUUUUGUAUAGAUUAAUGCUGAAAGGAUUUUAAACAUGCAUUCCAGCAAAAUGUCACAGUAAUUUUAGGGAAGGGCUAUUGAGAAAUACAUCCCUGCAACAUUUCCACAUCUUCUUGUGGUAAGCCUAAAAAUAGCCAGGAGGAUUUCACUAGAAUACUGAAAACUCUGACCACAGCAGAAGUAACAAAUUGAAUGAGAAGAUCUCUAAUCUCUGAGAAGGGCCAGAAGGGGCUCUCUAAUUUUCUGCUUUGCCACCAAUGACCACUAAAGUCAUUGCCAACUGCCAGACCCUUAGCAUUGGUGAGGAGACGUAUGACAAUUUGAAGCUAAUUUUCAUUUGUUGUAGAGAAAGAAACAGUUGUUUCCUUUUUUUUUUUUUUUUAACCCCAGAGUUAUUCCAACACAACACCCUUCUAGUUAACACCCAAGGCUCAGUGGCCAUCAGCUUGGCUUGGCUGCUUGGACCUUUCUCAGGGAGAUCAGCCUGCCUUGGUCUGACUUCAUAGGAAUUUCUAAUUAAUUAAUUAAUUAAUUUGAAAGAGAGAGAAGGCAUAAAUGGGGGAUGAGGGCAGAGGGAGAGGAGAGAGAGAGAAUCCCAAGCAGACUUCAUACUGAGCACAGAGCCCAAUGUAGGGCUCAAUCUCAUGACCCUGAGAUCAUGACCUGAGCUGAAAUCAAGAGUUAAGCAUUUAACUAAGCCAUCCAGAAGCCCCAUAGGAAUUUCUGAGGUCAGCACAGGGAUUCUGGUAAUCUACAGACAUGUCUAGUGAUGAAGAGACUCUUUAAGGUAUCAUUUAAAGGUGACAGAAGUCUGGCUGGGCAUCGGGUCACCUGGCUUCUAGCUGUGACUCUAGCACUGACCAGCUGUAUAACUGGGAGAAGGCUUCAACCUCUCCAGCUCAUUCUUCAUAUGUGAUACAAAGUGAGUUUAUAUAGUUGUCAAAAACGUCUUGGGUUUCAUUGUCAAUUAUCUUUCAGACAAAAAAACAUGAUACAGGGGAAGAUAGAGUAAAUGUACUUUUCCUAUUUCUCCGUGAAGUACACUAAAUCCUCUGGACACUACAUAUAAAACAAGCAUAAGAUGACCUUGAACAGUAGAGAAAAAGCAGAUCAGCUAAGGACUUUGAGACCCAAGGAAUGGCUUGGUGGUGAGCUCCCUGCGUUUUCUUUUUGCUUCAAGUAUCCCAUAGUUGGAACUGAAGAAGCCAGUGACCCGGAAAUGCCAAAGGGAAUAGACAAAAAGAUCUUCAAGAAAAGCACAGGGAGAGGAUCCCUGGGUGGCUCAGCGAUUUAGUGCCUGCCUUCUGCCCAGGGCCUGAUCCUGGAGUUCCGGGAUCGAGUCCCACAUCGGGCUCCCUACAUGGAGCCUGCUUCUCCCUCUGUGUUUUUGCCUCUCUCUCUCUCUCUCUCUCUCUCUGUGUGUGUGUGUGUGUUUAGUGAAUAAAUAAACAAAAAAAAAAGUUUUUAAAGGGGGA